rnacentral:lncRNA from 1 species
CCCCGGGGUCCUGGUCCCACAUCGGGCUCCCCGCAGGGAGCCUGCUUCUCCCUCUGCCUGUGUCUCUGCCUCUCUGUGUCUCUCACGAAUAAAUAUAAAAGCUCUUGUGAACAGAGAAGGAAAUGGUGGCUGCCCGGUGGGGGCGAGGGCGCCUGCAAGCCGGGCGUGCGCGGGCCACGGUCCCGGGUGACCUGCCCCCGCUGGGACGCGCCGGCCUGCCGGGCGACCUGCCGGGCGACCUGCCGGGCGUCCUGCCGGGCGACCUGCCGGGUGUCCUGCCGGGUGUCCUGCCGGGCGACCUGCCGGGCGACCUGCGGCUGCGGCUGCGGCUGCGGGGAGGCGGCGGGUCCCGGCCGCGGAAGGUUUCGGCCCCGGCGCCCAGGCCGCUCCUCCCGGCGGGACUCGGCAGCCGCUCCUCCCCGGGCCCGGGCCCGCCGCGCACCGCCUCCCGCCCCGAGCAGCUCAGGGCCUCGGGCCGCGCCAGGGCCGCAGCCGCAGCGCCGCUGCUCCGGGAGCUCGGCCCGAUUUCGGGGCGCCCCUGACUCCUGCGGCCCCCACAAGCUCGGCGGAUUCCCACCCGACGCGGGUGCCCCCGAGGGACGCGGCGGCCGGCGCCGGAUUCGCACUCGGGGCGGGGGCGCGGGCGCGGGCGCGGGCGCAGCCGACGGGGCGAGACACGCGCGGCCUCGGGGAGGCCGUUGCCGGGAGGGCCGCCGCCGCCCCGGGGCCACCCGCCGGGCCGGGAGCGCGCCCACCUUCCAGGCUCCCGGCCCAGGGCCCGAUCCCCGCGGCCCCCCCGCCCGGCGCCUUACCUGCCGCGGGGCACAAAGCUCCGGCCUCCGCGCCGCCGCCCGCCGCCGCCUGCUUGCCGGGCCUCGGUGGCGGGCGCCGGGCUGCGAUUGGCGGAGGAGCGGGGGGGGUGGGGGGGGCGGGGGGAGCGGGGCCAGGGAGGGGAGAGUGGAGGGAGCAGGGGGGGCGGGGAGGGGAGGGGAGGGGUGGAGGGAGCAGGGGGGGGGGGGGGGGGGGAGGGGAGGGAGGGGUGGAGGGAGCAGGGAGCAGGGGGGCCCUGCCUCACGCCCCCGGGUGGGAGAGCCUGGCCGCAGUGGUCCACCUGGCGGAGGAGCAGAGGCCGCGGGGCGGGGAGGCCUGGGACCGGGUGGUAGCUCAUUAUAG